GACAGAGGGUGCAAACGUUGUUCGGAUUUACUGGGCGUAAAGCGCGUGUAGGCGGUUAUCCAAGUCGGGUGUGAAAGCCUUGAGCUCAACUCAAGAAAUGCACUCGGUACUGGGUGACUAGAGGACCGGAGAGGAUAGUGGAAUUCCCAGUGUAGUGGUGAAAUACGUAGAGAUUGGGAAGAACACCAGUGGCGAAGGCGGCUAUCUGGACGGUUUCUGACGCUAAGACGCGAAAGCGUGGGGAGCAAACAGG
rnacentral:rRNA from 1 species